CUGAGGUCAAAUGUUCUCUGAGACAGUGUUGAGAGAAUGAAGCGAGCUGGCUGAAGCAGGGAAGGUGCCUUGGAUUGCUGAGCAAGACAGCCCUCUCUGACUCAGAUGAAAACCGCCUUGUGUUGGGUGAAAUGAUGGGGAGUUAACCAUUUGUUUGCUGGUUUGCGUUUCCCACGAAAAACUCAAAAACAGAAAUUUACC